rnacentral:lncRNA from 1 species
AUGCCUUCACAUGAUGGGAUUUUGAAUGCUGUGUCCUCAUUGGAGUUAAAUGCCGUGUGCAGAAAUGAUUGGAGAGAAGGUCAAAUCCUCACUGUCGGAAGUGUGAAUGUCAUUUACUCUCCUGAUGGGAGGGUGAAUUCUGUGUACUUGGCUGGUGGAAGCAAACAUGCCCCUGUCUCACCUCAAGAUAGGGAAGAGGGGAUGGCGUCUUCACAUGUAAGGGAAGGGCAUGGAGAGGUGAACCUCGAGCCUCCUGAUUCCAUUAGUUUAAUGCUGUGACCUGACCAAAUGGGCAGGUGCAUGCCCUCUCUACAUCUGAUGGAAGUGCGAGUGUCCUAUCUUCACCUGGUGUAAGCAUGAAUGGAGUUUCCUAACCUGAUGGAGGGUGAAUUCUACAUAGUUUUCUGUUGGAAGGGGAAAUGUCUCCUCAUCUGCAGGGGAGGGUGGACACCCUCAUAUCAUGUUUCAGCAGAAGGAAACCAUGUUCUCACAGGAUGAGAGGUUGGAAGCUGUGUCUUCACCUGAAGGGAUGCUGUGAAUGGCUGUCCUCACCUGAGGGAAAGGUGAUACUAUGUUCAUAUGUGAAAGAAGUUGAUGCCAUUGCAUCUCAUGAUGGUGUGAUUAAUAUGGUGUCUUCAUAUGAUGUAAGGUGAAUGCCCCUUCUUCAUCUGGUGGAAUGGUCCAUGUGCUUUCAGAUGCCGAGAGGAAGAGUAAGUCUUUGUCCUCAUGAGAUAGAAAGAUAAAUGCCCUAUUCCCUGUGGAUGGAAGAGGGAUCACAUGUACCCAUAUGUGGGAAGAUGAGCACCAUCUCCUCACCUAAGGAAUAGUGAAGUCUGUAUCCUCACUGGACAGAAGGGCAGCCACCAUGUUCUCACCUAAGUCUGAAUGCCCUUCCCUUACCCAUGGAAGCAUGAGCAUUCUGAGUCUAGUCAGUGAAGGAUUUCUACCUAGUGCUUAUUGACAAAAGGCUGAGGUCAUUCUCUGCAAAAUGUUUUAAGGGUGAAGGCCUUGUUCUAAUGUGAAAAUAAGGUGAAGAUCUUGGCUUACAAAAGGGAAGGCUGAAUGAGGUGUCCACAAGUGAUGUUAAGGUGAACAUCUUGUCCUCUCCUGAAGAACAUUGAAUCCCAUUGCUAGCAUGAUGAAAAGAUGAAGGAUGUAUCAUUAUGUGAAUUUCAUGAGAAAACACACUGUAAACAUUUACCUUAGGGUGCAGACCAUGUUGUCAUAUGAUGGAAGAGUGGAUGGCCUGUCCCAAUGCCAAAAGGUGACUCCUGUGCCUGGAAAUGAUAGAAGUUUGAAAUUGUGAGCCAUGGAAUGGGAGUGUAAUAAAUCUGUCCAAAAAUGAUGGAAUAGUGAAAGU